AUGUGCAGUGUCCUUGGAGGUGCAGCACAAGGAAUUUUGAAGGAUGGCAUCAGUGAGGCUCACACCUCAUUCCUCACUUUUCUUUUUGCAGUUUGUUUAUAUCUCUCCCAUUUUGCCACUUUUUCCCUUUGCACACACUUUCCAUGCUCCCCAUCCUUCCCAGACUGGCCAGAACAGCAGUGGUGCUGCAGAGCUGACCCCUGCCCAGCAUCUUCUCCCUGUCCCCCUUGCACACAACUCCAGAACAGGACAAUCUACACUGACAGCACCAUUACCAUCCUCUUCCCCAUCUCCCUCUCCACUGCCAUCUCAUCUGCUUCCCAUUCCUAUUCCUAUCCUCAUCCCCUAUCCCAUCGCUAUUCCCACCCCCUUCCCGUUCGUGAUUCCCAUCCCCAUCCUCACCCGUUUCCCCAACCCUAUGCCUAUCCCCAACCCUAUCCCCAUCCUACCCCAAUUUCUUUCCUCAUCCCCUUCCCCAUCCCAUCCCUAUGUCCAUCCCCCUCUCCUUCCCGUUCCCAUGCCCAUCCUUAUUUCCAACCCCUUCCCCUUACCCAUUUCUUUCUACAUCGCCAUCCCCACCCUAUUCCCAUCCACCGCUGUGCCCAUCCCCUUCCCUACCACUUCUUCAUCGCCGCCCCAUCCUCAUCUCCAUCCCUUUCACCAUUUCAUUCUCUCUCUGCUCCCGUCCCCGUCCCCAUCACAUCUGCACCUCCAUCCAAUUCCCAACUCCCGCCCCCGUCCGACUGCCGAGAAAUGAGAACAGGAACACUCCUCCCGCCCUGGCGCGGGGCGGCGAUUGAUGUCAUCACUGUUUCUGCCAGCUGUUUGGUUGACGGCCAGGCAGAUAUCUGCGCGCGGAGGGCGGGGGGAAUGGUGGCACUGUGCCUUUGCCUGUGCAAGCGCUGCCCCCUAUCUCGCGGCCGGGGCCGCCCUGUGCUCGCCGUCAUUCUGCACCCCUCUUCGCCACAGUGGGAAUAUCCUUUCCCGUCCAGCUACCCGUCCCUCCGUCCCUAUCCGCCCUGUUCUCGUGCCGAAGUGCGCCGACCCGUCCGCCGCUCUGGCUUCUGGUCCCUCUGGCUAAACGGUUUCGGAUUUCUCCUGGCCAGCAUCAUUUGCAGCGCAUGCCUGAUAGGGCCGUCUAUCUGGAAUACUACAGUCCUGGGGAACAUGGGGGAAAACUAG
rnacentral:lncRNA from 1 species